UCCGCCUGAGAACUACGAGCACAAACGCUUAAAACUCUAAGGACUUGGCGGUGCCCCAAACCCACCUAGAGGAGCCUGUUCUAUAAUCGAUAACCCACGAUACACCCGACCAUUCCUUGCCAAGGCAGCCUACAUACCGCCGUCGCCAGCUCACCUCCUUUGAGAGCAAAACAGUGAGCACAAUAGCCCACUAAGCUCGCUAGCAAGACAGGUCAAGGUAUAGCCCAUGGAAUGGAAGAAAUGGGCUACAUUUUCUAGCAUAGAAAACACGGAAGGAAGCGUGAAACCCCUUCCAGAAGGCGGAUUUAGCAGUAA
rnacentral:rRNA from 1 species